UUAUGGCCUACCAUGAGGCACUUCUCACAGUAUGUUGGCUUCCAGUCAUAUGUCACUUCCUGUACAAACUUCUUGCCAUUAAGAUCAAUAAUCUCAAUAUCACUUGGCAGAGGUUUAGACACAUUAACCUCAAUAAACAUACGUGCAAAAGAGAUCCUAGUCUGAUUGGUAGUACACUCAUCAGCAAAAAUAGGUUUGCCAAGAAUACUGGCAAUCCUACUCAAAGACCUAUUACCUCAGCAUGACAUAGGGAGCCUAGAAAACUUUACCCAUAGAGGAAUGUCAU
rnacentral:lncRNA from 1 species